rnacentral:RNase_P_RNA from 1 species
AGGUGACCAGGUGAUCGCAUGCGUUCGCGCAUGAGGAAAGUCCGAGCACCGCAGGGCAGGGUGCCGCCUAACGGGCGGUGGAGGCGACUCCAAGGAGAGUGCAACAGAAAUAUACCGCCCCCGCGCGAGCGGAGGUAAGGAUGGAAAGGCGAGGCAAGAGCUCACCCGCGGCCUGGCGACUCGUCCGCGCUGUAAACCCCACCCGGUGCAAGAUGGUAUGAGGACAUAUGCGGCGGCCCGCCGCGUCCCCGCAAUCGCUUGAGCCCACUGGCAACUUUGGGCCUGGAUAGAUGAUCACCCUCGACAGAACUCGGCUUAUGGUCACGCUCG